AUCCCAUGGUUUGGACACUUUCUCAUCAGGUCAUUAAAUCUGUUCCAUGCUUCAUGGUAGCUUUCUCCAUCUUUCUAUUGAAAUGUUUGAAUCUCCAAUCUGAUUUU
rnacentral:snoRNA from 1 species